rnacentral:rRNA from 1 species
GACAGAGGAGCCAAGCGUUGUCCGGAUUGACUGGGCGUAAAGCGCACGCAGGCGGUCGUUCAAGUCGAGUGUGAAAGCCCCCGGCUCAACUGGGGAGGGUCACUCGAUACUGAUCGACUCGAAGGCAGGAGAGGGUAGUGGAAUUCCCGGUGUAGUGGUGAAAUGCGUAGAUAUCGGGAGGAACACCAGUGGCGAAGGCGGCUUUCUGGGCCUUACCUGACGCUGAGACGGCGAAAGCGUGGGGAGCGAACCGG